rnacentral:rRNA from 1 species
CAGUCGCCACGGGAAUACGGAGGGUGCAAGCGUUAAUCGGAAUUACUGGGCGUAAAGCGCACGCAGGCGGUCUGUCAAGUCGGAUGUGAAAUCCCCGGGCUCAACCUGGGAACUGCAUUCGAAACUGGCAGGCUAGAGUCUUGUAGAGGGGGGUAGAAUUCCAGGUGUAGCGGUGAAAUGCGUAGAGAUCUGGAGGAAUACCGGUGGCGAAGGCGGCCCCCUGGACAAAGACUGACGCUCAGGUGCGAAAGCGUGGGGAGCAAACAGGAUUAGAUACCCCGGUAGUCCCUGUCUCUUAUAC